CUUUUGUAUAAUGGGUCAGCGACUUAUAUUCAGUGGCAAGGUUAACCAUCUAGGGGAGCCGUAGGGAAACCGAGUCUUAACUGGGCGCCAUAGUCUCUGGAUAUAGACCCGAAACCGAGUGAUCUAGCCAUGGGCAGGUUGAAGGUUGAGUAACAUCAACUGGAGGACCGAACCGACUAAUGUUGAAAAAUUAGCGGAUGACUUGUGGCUAGGGGUGAAAGGCCAAUCAAACUCGGAGAUAGCUGGUUCUCCCCGAAAGCUAUUUAGGUAGCGCCUCGGACGAAUACUACUGGGGGUAGAGCACUGUUAAGGCUAGGGGGUCAUCCCGACUUACCAACCCUUUGCAAACUCCGAAUACCAGUAAGUACUAUCCGGGAGACACACGGCGGGUGCUAACGUCCGUCGUGGAGAGGGAAACAACCCAGACCGCCAGCUAAGGUCCCAAAUUACAGCUAAGUGGGAAACGAUGUGGGAAGGCUUAGACAGCUAGGAUGUUGGCUUAGAAGCAGCCAUCAUUUAAAGAAAGCGUAAUAGCUCACUAGUCGAGUCGGCCUGCGCGGAAGAUGUAACGGGGCUAAGUU
rnacentral:rRNA from 1 species